rnacentral:lncRNA from 1 species
AAAGCGUUAUGGAUUAUCUUGGAAACAGAUCCUCUAUGCCUGGUCAAGCCUUGAGCUGACUGCAAACUUUAUGAGACCUUCAGCAGGAAUACCCAGCUUAGCCACAUUACUGGGAUGGGGUUGUAGCUGGUUCUUUUGGAGUGCUUGUCCUGUGAGCACAGUGAACUCAGCAUAGAAGCUGAUGCCUAGAUCCUGGCAUGAAGGAGAACCAGGAAUUCAAGGACAAAUCUGAGAGCAGCCUGGGUGUGGGUGGAUUCUUCAGGCCACUGAACAUCAGGCUAUUUAUUAUAUGGCCUAAGUAACUGUUAGACAAGGUAAAGGAGAAAGCAGGGGGCACACAUGUGAGGGUUACUGCAGCUUUUCUGUAUAUUUCAAAAUAAAAUGUUAAAAAUAAA